rnacentral:tRNA from 3 species
AGCCGAAUUGUGUAAUGGUAGCACGACAGACUCUGACUCUGUUUGUGAGGGUUCGAAUCCUUCUUCGGCUGCCA